ensembl:snRNA U6 U6 spliceosomal RNA
GUACUCACUCUGGAAACAGAUAUACUAAAAAUAAUAAAUAUAUGAAGAGGAUUAUCAUGGCCCCUGAAAAAGGAUGACACACAAAUUUGUGAAGCAUUCCAUUUUUUA